CGGAGUGUAGCGCAGUCCGGUAGCGCGUCUGGUUUGGGACCAGAGGGUCGCGGGUUCGAAUCCUGCCACUCCGACCA
rnacentral:tRNA from 1 species